rnacentral:sRNA from 1 species
AAGCUUCGACCAAGGUUCGACUGGAGCGCCAGCGAGAGAGCUUGGCCGCAGUCAACGACCCGAAGGGCGAAGCGCGCAGCGCUUAGUAAUCCUUCCCCCACCACCA